AGAAAAGGAAAAAAGAGAACAAAAUGAAGAAAAAGAAAGAAAAGAAGAAAAAGAGAGAGAAGGCAGGACCUGUCCAGCUUUCCAAGUUCUUUAAAAACAAAAAGAAGAAUGAAAACUACAGCAUGAUAACCGGAAAGAAAAUUAAGAUGAAAAUUAAGAAGACUAAGGAAGAUAUAGAGAGAGACCGGAACCGUGCGCAGCUCCUGGAAUUUCUGAACUCUGCCUUGUAACAGGAAGAGUGCUGGCCAAGGACUUGGAGAUACACCAAGUCAAUGAUCAUCAUGCCUAGCAAAACACUAAAGGGAAACUCAGGGAAAAGGAUGCCAAGUUCAACAAGACCAGACCCUCCUGCUGAGAAGACAAUCGGGAUUUCCUUUUUUAAUGGCAAAAUGAAGAGUAGCUAAUAACUUGCUAAUGAAGAUCCAUGUCCUCCUUUUGAGAUCCUAAGGUAAUAGCCAGGCUGUGGUGUUUUUAGAAAAGCCCAGGAGUGUGUCAUUGACAAUGAUAAGAAAUGACACACUGAAGUCAAAUAAUGUAAUUUCUAUCCUAACUGCAUGCAGAAUGCACUGUUAAUUUCAAAUGUCUUAAUUUUUCUAGUAGUUUAACCAGAGUAUUUGUAAAUGUCUGUUUGAAAGAUGAGGUGUUUCUUAUAUGUAUAUUUUUUUUCUGGUAGUGGUUAUACUUGUCCUAAAGAGAAAAAUGACCUCUGUAAAUAGAACAUGCUUUUACAUAAAUGGUUUUUUUGGAAGUUCACUAACUAAUAUAUUGCUUUCUUUCAGAGUUUGAGAUAGGAUCUUUCUCUGGACAGUUUAUUGCUCUCUCUCACUAGAAAAUGUAAAAGCAAAAUACUCUAGAGCAAUAACAGUAGCGAAUGAUUUGUAUCCUAAAAUAGAAGCAGAAAAGGUCUCUGAUUUUGUUUAUCUCAAUCAGCUGUUCAAAGGCAGCUCACAAUAAAUAGUUUACCCCCCCCAUCUGGAGUUGCAGUUCCUAGACCUAAAAACUCUGGAGUUCUGGCCUGCCUUUCUGAUCCUUUGAGUUGUGUAUCAAAUCUUUCUCUGUCUGAAGUGAAGCAAGACACACACCACAUACCUUACCCUAAUGGAGAAAGAGCUGCAGGAAUAAAUCAGAGGCAGGCAGUGCCAGUGACUCUCUGGAUAUGUUGACAGCCCGCUGUGAGAUGAGACAGAGCUUGACUUUUGGUUAGCCAGCAGGCCCCUGUGAACAUAACCCUGACGUGGGAGUCCCACUUGAAUCGCUCGAGAAGCAAGUGCUUCCCAGGAACUACUGUUUAGGAAUGCCUGAAAAAAAGGAGUCAAGGGUAGUUGACUUUGACAAGAGCUUCAGGUCUACAGCAGUCAGAGUGUGGGGAGUUCAUUAAAGAGCAAGUGGAAAACUCCUUGCAUCUGUGUCUCCUGCGGUGUUUUGAAGUAAACCUGAAGAUCUGAACCAUUGCUCAAGGGAUAAUUUUAUAAGUGUUUUGAUGUGUGAAACCUUCUGAAGAUGCUAGAAUCCUGUCUUUUCCCUAGUUUUCUUUUAUUGUGAAGCAUUUUAUAGUUGUUGCAGAGAUGUAAUUCUUUAGAGAUUAAAGCCCUGAUCCAGAAAAGCAAACCAUUACAUCCUUAUCAACAUAAAACUUGGAAAAACAUAGGUAAGAACUGGAGUUUCCUUGACUUGUAAUCUGGCAAUGGAAGCCUUUUUUGGACGUACUGCUCUGAAAUGUCAGUAGGGGGAAAAACAAACAAGAAACCCCCUUUUUUUUCGUGAGGAUAAUGCUUUGAUUUGUACUACUUUGGUAUAUUCUAGCCAGUGAUGUCAAAGGAUCUUGCCCAGAUAAGCAGCUUUUUUUCUCUGGUCUUUGCAUAACAAGGUUAAUCCCAAACACUCUCCUAGAAGACACUAAAAUCCUUCCAAUUCCUUAGGUUUUAUUUUAUAUAAAGAUAGUAUAAUUUCUGAAAAUUUGUCAGGGUGGGGAGGGAGUAGAAAUUUGGAAGAUGGAAAGCAGCAAAUAGGAAUGGGAAACGUGGAGAUCACACUUGUGAAGAACUGCGUUGGUUCGAAGGUUCAGACUUAAGUGAAAUAAUUCGCUUUUUGGUGCUUUCGUCAAGAUUGUAAAAACUCCUUCCCUGUUCCAUACUAGUAUGGAAAAGGCAAAGAGCCUUUAGAAAUAUGAUGUGGUCUGUUCCUCUUUUAGGGUUUUGGUAGUUGCUGACUCUAAUGAUGCAAAAACAAGUCAAACCGCUUUUUCUUAAAAAACAAACAAAUCCUUUUUCUCUUUCUUGCUGUUUCAGGACAGGAAUUUUUCCUGCUCAGUUCUGACAUGCUGGAUAUGCUUUAGUGAUGCUUUAAAAUAUUUCUAUGCCAGCAUUUACUUCUAAGGAAUCAUUUCUUUUAGAGAACCAAGCUGCUUAAGCUCUGUGGCAGUGAUUCAGUUUUAUUCUCUCCUCCCCAGUCAGUUACAGAUGGUGUCUGAAACUUCCCAUCAGUUGCUGCUUUUAUAAACCUCCUUUUCUUUCCUACCCAUCUCCAUGCAGAUUCUCAGGUUUCUAAAGUGGUUUGAGUAAUGUUGCAUCCUUUUUUUCUCUGUCUUUCCCCACAAACAUUGAGAUCACAUGCUUCUUGGGACUGAGUAUCUUUGAGACUCCUGUCUGGAGCUGGCCAGCAGAUUCCAGUCCUCCCUAGUGAGCACAGGCCCUUACAGCCAGAAUAAUUGUCCAUGCUUUGCUGCCUCAGGAAAGAAGUUAAUUUUGUUGAUUUUUUCACUAAAGCAUAGCUUCUUAAUACUGCUUCAAAUCACUAUUCUGGCAGCUGAACCACAGACUGAACCAGAUGUGAGGGUUAAACAGUAAGAUUGUGGUGAACAUCAGGUUGAGAAAUUUGUAUGAGGGAACUGUGAAGUGACAUGGAAUGUCAACCUGAUGGGCAAGGGGCUGAUAGAGAGACUUGCUACCAGGUCUCAGAAAGGUGCCUACUGUGGGUGAAGAUGCAGGCUGGAACAAUAGAGCAAUAGGAAAGGUAUGAGAUAGGGAUGGAGGGAGACUGCUGCUGUCAGAAGUCAUGGUGUGGGGCCAAGGUCAGAUGAUAAGGGGCUGCAGAAGCUUACCUUACUGGGCAAGUUGAGAUUCUUCCUAAAAUGAUGAAUAAUUGAUGAAAAACUACCUUGUGUGUGUAUGACAGUCUUCGCUAUCACACUCAACUUUCUGUGUCCCUGUACCAUUUUCCAUUCUGGAAUCAGAACAGCUGAAUUUUUCUGACAACAGAAAUUCCAGAAACAGAAGACACUGUGAUUCUUUGUUACUCGUUUCCUUUAUGGUUUGCUUGAAAUUCACUCUUUUGCCCACACAAAAAUGUAGAAGAGAUGAAGCUGAGGAAAUGUGUAUAAAUACCACUUUGUCUUGAAAGAAUCUGGCUCCGUGGAACUAAGGUGUAUCAUCCUGCAGAACUGAGAUGGGUCUGCAAUUGUGGUAACUCUUCAGUAUUUAGUAUGAUUAAACUUGGGCAAGUUGUGCUGUUUUGA